UUUCACGUACAAAAGCAGCAACGCAAUAUUACAAAUCUGGUUUGGAUCGGACCCAGAAUAUAACUAUCAGUUAUAAAAGGAACCCAAAAAUCGAAAAGGCUCUGUUGUCAAAGUGGGGACGAUUGAAUCCGGAGGAGCUUAUGUUACAUAACGUAUACACAAACAAGCAGCUGAUUUGGAUAAAUCUCACAGAUUGUGCAUUUGUUACACACUUGACUCAAACAAGUAUUAAUUCCAAGGCCUCCACAUAGUAUCAGUUGCGUUGACUAAGAUCCACUCGUACCUCCAGCUGGUAAGGGGGAAAAAGAAUUAUUAUGAGAGCUUCAGAAGCAUGGUCCACAGUUCACGUGGAUAUAUAAAAAAGAAAAAGAUAAAAAAAAAAAAGACUGGAUUGAAGCCAUUAUAAGAUCGCCUGAAGCGUGUAUAAUAUUUAUUAAUUAGUAGGUAGCAUUGACGAAGAUCAAUUCGUAAUCAAUAUCCAGGUCGUAAGGAAAAAAUAAAUGUUUAGAAGCUUAAGUAGCACGUUCAACACUUGUACAAUAAAAGAAGAACGUUCAACAAUCAACAUGGCGUGUAGAAAAAAUAAUAAUGAACCACAUUAUAUAUCCCUAGCUAAUCUAGAGCAUUAGCAUCAUCAAAGGAACUCAACAAAAAGAUCACAAAGCAAAAAAAAUCAGAAAAAAGAAGAAAGAUGAAAACAGCUGGCGUAAUCAAAA
rnacentral:lncRNA from 1 species